UGUCACAUGUGUUGGAAGUUCUGUCCCAAG
rnacentral:piRNA from 2 species